ensembl:snRNA U6 U6 spliceosomal RNA
GUGCUCACCCUGGCAACACAUACACUAAAAUUGGAAUGAUACAGAGAUUAGCACGGCCCGGCACAAAGGAUCACAUGCAAAUUUGUGAAGCAUUCCAUAUUCUA